GGUGGUUCUCGGGUGAUGCACCCUGGAAUCAGGCUCCCUCCUCUCUGGUUCCGGGUGUGUCACCCAAGAACCUCC
rfam:Myotis davidii contig191041, whole genome shotgun sequence.